GGGCGGGGCUCGCGACUGCUGCGGGCGGCGAUGGCGGCGGACGGGGACUGGCAGGAUUUCUACGAGUUCCAGGAGCCGGCCGGGACCCUCCAGGACCAGGAGAACUGUAACGCGAGUCCCGAGGCCGGGGCAGGGCCCGGCGGGGCAGGCGACGGCUUCGCAGCGCUGGCCCGCAGCUUGGAGGAGAAACUGAGCCUGUGUUUCCGCCCCUCGGGUCUGGGCGCCGAGCCCCCGAGAGCGGUCGUGCGGCCCAUCACGGAGGGCAGCCUCCUCCAGGGGGACGAGAUUUGGAACGCCCUGACGGACAACUAUGGGAAUGUGAUGCCCGUGGACUGGAAGUCGUCCCACACCAGGACCUUGCACUUGCUCACUCUGAACCUCGCAGAAAAAGGGGUAAGUGACAGCUUGCUCUUCGAUACAUCAGAUGAGGAGGAGUUGAGAGAACAGCUGGACAUGCACUCGAUCAUCGUCUCCUGUGUGAAUGAGGAGCCCCUCUUCACUGCAGAUCAGGUUAUUGAAGAAAUUGAAGAAAUGAUGCAGGAAUCCCCUGACCCGGAUGACGAUGAAACGCCCACGCAGUCAGAUCGGCUUUCGAUGCUUUCCCAGGAGAUUCAGACUCUUAAGAGGUCUAGUACGAGCAGUUACGAAGAGAGAGUAAAAAGGCUCUCAGUAUCUGAGUUAAAUGAGCUCCUGGAAGAAAUCGAGACUGCCAUUAAGGAAUACUCUGAAGAGCUGGUGCAGCAGUUGGCCUUGCGAGAUGAACUGGAGUUUGAAAAGGAAGUGAAAAACAGCUUUAUUUCUGUUCUCAUUGAAGUGCAAAACAAACAGAAAGAGCACAAAGAAACAGCCAAAAAAAAAAAGAAACUCAAGAAUGGCAGCUCUCAGAAUGGGAAGAAUGAGAGGAGUCAUAUGCCGGGCACACGCUUCAGCAUGGAAGGGAUCUCAAAUGUCAUUCAGAAUGGCCUCCGCCACACCUUUGGAAAUUCAGGUGGAGAGAAACAGUACUUGACAACAGUUAUUCCUUAUGAGAAAAAGAAUGGACCACCAUCUGUUGAAGAUCUCCAAAUAUUAACAAAAAUUCUUCGUGCCAUGAAAGACGACAGUGAAAAAGUUCCGAGCUUGUUAACCGAUUAUAUACUGAAAGUCCUGUGUCCUACAUAGGACAGCAUCACUUCAGGAGCAGUUCUGCCUUUUGUGGACUACAAGCUAGAUUUCCUACAGCAUUCCUCUGAACGCUGGCUACGUCGCCUUCCUGCUAUUGGGAACUCAGCACACUUGAACUUGGUGCUAGCUUCUUCCCCUUACUCUCCCACACACUGUCUGCCACCACAGAGUGCGAGCUGGCCAGACCCUGAGUAGCCUCCUCACGGUAAGGAGGGGGCGGGGGGCCUGUGGGACGCUGUCCGCAGCUGUGGCUGCUGGGACUCUGGCAGGCCGUCGCCCGGACAGACUGACAACCAGAGGACGGUUUCCUUCCUCCUCCCAGAUGUGAGUCUUGGAAAGUUAACACUGUGUGAGAUUUAAGAUUGAAAGUGUUGAUUUGUGAGAACCAAACUGCAAACCCUCCCCUUGCAGCCUUGGUUUUCUGAAGAAAACAGAACAAACUGUACGAGAGCACACGCCAUGUGCCUGCCAUAGAUCAGUUUUAUUCUUUAGGAAAUCAUGUUUGUUUUUCUUUUACAAGAGCACAACAGGAACCAAAGUAAAAGAGGAAUAGAUACAGCACUCAGGAUAAAUCAUAUCUUUAAAAAUAAAAAAAUUUACACCUUGUCCUAUAUCCUGUUAGUAUUUUCAUAAUAUGGCCAUGAUUGAAAAAACAAAAAGCAAGCAUUUACAAUUUUUUUGAUAAAGACUUUUUAUGCCAGGAAUGGAUUAAUUGUCAAAAAAUUUUAAUAAUAAUUAGGCUGAUGCAAGUCUAUUUUGGUAACAUAUCAUUAACAAAUUUAUUUUGGAAAUAGAUAAAAAUAUUGCCCCUUGAUAAUAAAUCUUUUUUUCUUUGAUGCAAACAGCUAGAACACCUUUUUUUCUUUUUCUUUUUUGAUAUUCUAAGACAAAGAAAAUGGUUAAUCUUCAGAUUAAUAAAUUAGGUCAUUAUAAUAAUAAAUUAAUUUUUUUUAAAGUUCAGCAACCUCUGUCCAAGUAUUUACAACAAUACUUGAAAGUUCCUUUACAAAACAGAACACAUUUUCUUUUCACAUUAAGCAUACUGGGUAUCUGUCUUUCACAAAAGAAAAAAAUCAAUGCACAAAUGGGUAAUUAGUAUAAAAGUGCUAAGAGCUGUUUGAAAAGUUAACACUAUAGUAUAUAGUCAGUCAUAUUUGAGGCAAACUACAACAAACUUCCAGCUUAUUAUGGACAAUAUUCCAGUAGUUGUUCCAAACAGUUGUUUGAAGGAAAACAGAAAGGAGACCCAGGAGCUGAUUUGGUGACGUGCACAGACUGCCACCGGGGGUCCUGGCAGGCGGAGUGAACUGAAAAGCAGCUGAAAGCAAAUCCAAACGCGGCAGAGGAUUUAGUCAAGGAAUGCCUGCUCCGCAGCAGGUGCGGUGCUGCCUGCCCACGUGUGUGCGACACUCUCACACACACACUCACACGUGUAUUUCUUCCCCAUUCAACUGCAGGUAGGAUGAGAUUUUUGUGUUUAAAAUUUGUAAGUGAUCAAAAGCAUUGCUAUGGAAUGCCUGUUUGUCUUUGUUCUGGUUAAAAUCUCAUAAAAAUACAUUCAACAGGAAAACAUAAAUUGUAUGUGUAUAAAUAUAUAUGUUUAUAUAUAUUAUAUACACACGCACACAAAUACUUUUGUUUUUUUUGAAGCAUAAGAUAGUUACAUAAAUAUUCCUAUAAUUGCUAAAGUUUAAAGAGGCAUAUUUUUUUUUGAGCUUCAACAAAGGUGCUUGAAUAAUAUACAAUUAAAAUGAAGUAGUUUCUAUUUUGUAGAAUCAGUAUAUAAUAAGGAAAAAAAUCUCCAAAGUCUUUUUUUAAAAAAAGUUUCUUCUUAAGCUAGAGCUUCAACGAAAACUAGGAACCACCAACGAUCUAACAGAACAAAGCAACAACGAACAAGGAAGGACAGCCCCUGGGCGUCCCCUGCCUGCCCCGCUGUCCUCGGAGAAGCUCCAGUGCUCACACCGAGAAAGGACUCUAGGUCCUGUGUGUCUGCUGAUUGGCUUGGAAGAAAACGAAAGCAGCAAAAGGUCUAACUGUAUCUAUUCUUGGUAACCCGCCUGAGAGAAAUGCUGCCCUCACA